UACGGAGGAUGCGAGCGUUAUCCGGAUUUAUUGGGUUUAAAGGGUGCGUAGGCGGAUCGUUAAGUCAGUGGUCAAAUUGAGGGGCUCAACCCCUUCCCGCCAUUGAAACUGGCGCUCUUGAGUGGAAGAGAAGUAUGCGGAAUGCGUGGUGUAGCGGUGAAAUGCAUAGAUAUCACGCAGAACCCCGAUUGCGAAGGCAGCCUUCCGGCGCCCUACUGACGCUGAGGCACGAAAGUGCGGGGAUCGAACAGG
rnacentral:rRNA from 1 species